CCAGGCGCCCCCAAGGUCCGGCCGUUCCCCCGCGGCACUUACGCGCUCUUGGAUCCACUGCUGGGCAGAAGCGAAACUUUCAGGGGCCCAGCGGAAGAGUGCGGUAGCGCGGUGUGAGCCGCCAUGAUACGCAGAGCCGCCGCAGGCGGGCGCGGACUACAACUCCCGGCACGCUCCGCAGGCCAACGCCUACAAGUCCCGUUGAACCCCACAGCAGAGGGGCGGGGACUAGGACUCUAGGCUAGCUUCCCGGCGCUGAGGUUUGCGAUCCUGGCGCCGCGGUGCCACCGGGCCCGGGGUUAAGCCUUUCUACCCCUCGCAGGCCCGUGUGUCCACAAGUCAUCGCUAUCACCCUGUGGCUUUUGAGAACUUGAAAUGUGGCUGGCUUGAGUUGAAUAGUACAUGGGCUGGGCUUUGCAAGGUAUUCCGAGGCUGGACUCAAGAGAACAACAUGCAUUCAUUCACUAUCUCUGCUAUGGAUCCGAGACAAGAGAAGAGCACCUGGGGAACUUCAGCCUGCACUCCGUCAUUUUCUAGUUCUGGGUGCACCAUCCUUUCCUCUGCCUUAGCUCCCACCAUUUAAUCAAAAGCAGCUUUCUAUUUCACAGGACAUAGCUACUGGUGUCCAGUCAGGCGCCAUGGCCCCAACAUUGGCUGGGUGGGAUAAUACAGGAAAGGAAAUAAAUUUCCUACUUAAGUUUC